GACGAACGCUGGCGGCGUGCUUAACACAUGCAAGUCGAACGGAAAGGCCCUGCUUUUGUGGGGUGCUCGAGUGGCGAACGGGUGAGUAACACGUGAGUAACCUGCCCUUGACUUUGGGAUAACUUCAGGAAACUGGGGCUAAUACCGGAUAGGAGCUCCUGCUGCAUGGGGGGGGUUGGAAAGUUUCGGCGGUUGGGGAUGGACUCGCGGCUUAUCAGCUUGUUGGUGGGGUAGUGGCUUACAAAGGCUUUGACGGGUAGCCGGCCUGAGAGGGUGACCGGCCACAUUGGGACUGAGAUACGGCCCAGACUCCUACGGGAGGCAGCAGUGGGGAAUAUUGCACAAUGGGCGGAAGCCUGAUGCAGCAACGCCGCGUGCGGGAUGACGGCCUUCGGGUUGUAAACCGCUUUCGCCUGUGACGAAGCGUGAGUGACGGUAAUGGGUAAAGAAGCACCGGCUAACUACGUG
rnacentral:rRNA from 1 species